rnacentral:sRNA from 1 species
ACUCUUGUAUUGAGGGUUACUGAGCCUGGCUGAGGAGAAUGUGUCACCAGAGCAGCACAGAGGCAGGGGUGGACCAGCAGUUACAUCGAGGUAGAUCCUUGUGUUAACAGGAAAAACACUUGGAGUCUCCAACACCACUGCUAUCCAGGCAUCCAUUCAUUCAAUUGAAGUGAUCGAAUCCAGGAUAGGACCAGCAGCCCCAGUAGUCCUGGGAGGUCAGUCAGAGAUCGGGACCAGGAAGCUUUUACUGCAGGGCCUCUCUGGAGUGUGGAUGGGAUUCUGGGAUUACUCAGCCCCUAAGAGCAUGGGGACUACAUGGAUGCAGAGAUGAUAACCUUCAUGGUCUUUUAGAGCUGGAGGUAAGUGUUGAAUUGGCCAUCUCUUUCCCUCCUUACAUCUUAUACACAGAGAGAACUGAGGUUCAGAGGAGUGAACUCAGUGCUGGCAUCAGCUAGUUUGAUCAUAACCAGGAGUAGAGCUCAGGUCUCCAGGUCCUGAGCCUGUGUCCUCUACCCCACAUCUACUUCCCUAAACUUCUUCCCAGAGGCCUUCUGAAGGUGGGUGGGGGUGGGGAGUUGACUCCUCAGGCACGUGGAGAUCAUCUCACUAAAAUUGAGAUUACAGCACCGUUUCCCCAGGCAGCAUGGGUGUGCUACCUUUUACUGUAGGGAGGCCUCUACCAGGCAUUCUGCUACAGCCGAGCACCUAGCCUCUAUCUUGUUUCCAUCAACAUAAUCUGUUCGCAACAUGAGAUUGGGCUUUUCCCUGGCCCCUUAUCACUAAUAGGAUCAGCGGAUUCUGCAGGAUGUGGGGAGCUGCAGUGAGCAUGCUCAGUCGGGGAAGCCGCUGUCUCAGAAACCGCAGCUCAGCUGGGUAUACACCAAGCUUUUGUAUUCAGGAGAGGAGAGUUCACCAGGAUUCGUCUCUCUCUCCUGGACCGCUUUAGCUCAGGCUGUAGCUCUAACUCAAAGCCCUGUCAACCAGAGGACGGUUUGGUUAGUGCCUCGUAGAGCCUCCACCGAGUCGUCGCCAUCUUACUUUUGGAAGCUUCUCUCAUCAUAUAUAACAUUUAUCUCACUUUAGGCCGUCAAUGUGUUUGCCAUAGGCACUUCUGGCUUGUACCUGAUAAAGAAGUCUCACACGGGAAAGGAAGAAGCCGAAUGGAGCUCCCACUUCGGGUCUGCUGCUUGUUAGCUGUGCACCCUUGGUUUUUUAGGACUGGGCUUUGAAAUGUCUUCACUUCUGGAAGGCUCUUCCCCACUGACCCCACCCAGGACUUCCGCUCAUAGGAUGGCACUACCUGUAUUAAGGGCACAUCUUUCCUCCUCAGCCUGGACCUUGAGCUUCCUCUUAAAAUUACCAGAACAUGCUGUGCAGGUUGGAGGAAUGUGUCCCACCAGUGGCUCUGAUGAGGGACCUGGCCUGGAUCAUCUGUAUCCUGGGGUAAGAUAUUGAUCGAGCUGCGCUUGAGCCCCAAGAGGCGGUACUGAAGGAAUCGAGGGGCUUGAUUCAAAGGUAUAGGAACUCAGGGAGGGACAUUUCUAGAGAGGCCAGGAGUCUCCCCCUAUUCUCUCCCUGCAUCUCUGGUCUUUCCUUUUCACUUUCUCCCUUCUCUCUUCUCUGUGUCAUCUCCC